rnacentral:rRNA from 1 species
AGAGUUUGAUCCUGGCUCAGGACGAACGCUGGCGGCGUGCCUAAUACAUGCAAGUCGAACGCUUCUUUUCUACCGAGUGCUUGCACUCACUUGAAAAGAGGAGUGGCGGACGGGUGAGUAACACGUGGGUAACCUACCCAUCAGAGGGGGAUAACACUUGGAAACAGGUGCUAAUACCGCAUAAUAGUCGACAUCGCAUGGUGUUGAUUUGAAAGACGCUUUCGGGUGUCACUGAUGGAUGGACCCGCGGUGCAUUAGCUAGUUGGUGAGGUAACGGCUCACCAAGGCCAUGAUGCAUAGCCGACCUGAGAGGGUGAUCGGCCACACUGGGACUGAGACACGGCCCAGACUCCUACGGGAGGCAGCAGUAGGGAAUCUUCGGCAAUGGACGAAAGUCUGACCGAGCAACGCCGCGUGAGUGAAGAAGGUUUUCGGAUCGUAAAACUCUGUUGUUAGAGAAGAACAAGUAGGAGAGUAACUGCUCUUACCUUGACGGUAUCUAACCAGAAAGCCACGGCUAACUACGUGCCAGCAGCCGCGGUAAUACGUAGGUGGCAAGCGUUGUCCGGAUUUAUUGGGCGUAAAGCGAGCGCAGGCGGUUUCUUAAGUCUGAUGUGAAAGCCCCCGGCUCAACCGGGGAGGGUCAUUGGAAACUGGGAGACUUGAGUGCAGAAGAGGAGAGUGGAAUUCCAUGUGUAGCGGUGAAAUGCGUAGAUAUAUGGAGGAACACCAGUGGCGAAGCGACUCUCUGGUCUGUAACUGACGCUGAGCUCGAAGCGUGGGGAGCAAACAGAUUAGAUACCCUGGUUAGUCCACGCCGUAACGAUGAGUGCUAA